AGUUGAGCGGAGAUAUAUGGAGCUUGCUUUAUAUAACUUAGCAGCGAACGGGUGAGUAACACGUAGAUAAUCUAUCCUAUACUGGGGGAUAGCCCGAUGAAAGUUGGAUUAAUACCGCAUAUAGCUAUAUAGUUGCAUGAUUAUGUAGUGAAAGAUUUAUUGGUAUAGGAGGAGUCUGCGGCACAUUAGCUAGUAGGUGAGGUAAAGGCUUACCUAGGCGACGAUGUGUAGCCGGUCUGAGAGGAUGAACGGCCACAAUGGAACUGAGACACGGUCCAUACUCCUACGGGAGGCAGCAGUGGGGAAUAUUGCACAAUGGGGGAAACCCUGAUGCAGCAACGCCGCGUGAGUGAAGAAGGUUUUCGGAUUGUAAAGCUCUGUUAGCAGGGAAGAGGAAGGACGGUACCUGCAGAGGAAGCCACGGCUAACUACGUGCCAGCAGCCGCGGUAAUACGUAGGUGGCAAGCGUUGUUCGGAAUAACUGGGCGUAAAGGAUGCGUAGGCGGUUAAACAAGUUAUAUGUUAAAUAUAUAGGCUUAACCUGUAGAAAGCAUAUAAAACUGUUUAACUAGAGUGCAGGAGAGGUAAGUGGAAUUCCUAGUGUAGCGGUGAAAUGCGUAGAGAUUAGGAAGAACACCAGUGGCGAAGGCGACUUACUGGACUGUAACUGACGCUGAGGCAUGAGAGCAUGGGGAGCAAACAGGAUUAGAUACCCUGGUAGUCCAUGCUGUAAACGAUGGGUACUAGGUGUGGGUUGUGAAUAACAAUUCGUGCCGUCGCAAACGCAAUAAGUACCCCGCC
rnacentral:rRNA from 1 species